GGCAUGGACGAUGCCCCCAUCCCUGGACGGUCAACUCACGUGAAAGGUGCGCCGGACGCCUGAGUCGAGAUUCUCCGUUUUCACCUUCCACGCAAGUGCAUCUGCGGAGUUGAGAAUGAACACGAGAGGCUUCUGGUGGCGCAGCAGUGACUGGAUGGGCUUCAGCUUCCCUCCCUUCGGUUCUGCCGCGGACUGUGGAAAAACCCCUCUCAUUGGUCCUCGGAGAGCAACAACGAGCGCAAACAACAAGCGUCAGAUAGCAUCGCGCGAGCCGGAGAGAGCACAUGAAAAGUUUUGAAGGCGCAGACAGAAAAAGGCCAGAUGUGAAUCACCUGAACGGCAUCAACGACAGAGCUGAGAGGAGCCUUUGUGUGUUGGCUGCCUCCAGGUCUCUGAGGGGGCGCGGCGCCUCUUAGGUUGACCACGUGGACUUCUUGCGGGAGCCCGGCAGUGCCCCGGCUUGCGCAACCCGACAGCGCAGUGAAGCUUUUACUCAUGGCUUGCACUGGGUGGCCGGCGCCCACCGGCAGCAACUCGCAGGGGCUGCGAAACAACGGUCCUGCAAGAAAAAAAAAGAAUGUAGUCAACAAAUGCCGCAAAUAGUGUGGUCGAGUGAAAAAAAGGGAUAAUAAGCCAAGCAUAUUUUCUCCUUCGAACAAUGUAGCGUCACCAAGUCUGACUAUUUACGGGCUGUUUAAUGUGAAAUAAACACCCACAUUUCCAAUUACGUUCUCCAACUGUUUUUCCCCCUUUCUUUGGUCAUAUUUUCCCUCGAGGAGAGCCAGCCGUCACGCUCUCAUCGCCGCACCUGAGUUUACGCUACCGC